GAAUGUGAGGGUGAGCUGGCUGCGACAUCUGUCACCCCAUUGAUCGCCAGGGUUGAUUCCGCUGAUCUGGCUGGCUAGGUGGGUGUCCCCUUCCUUCCUCACCACUCCAUGUGCAUCCCUCCAGAAGUUGCGCCCUCGGUCAGAGAGGACGACCUUCCCCGCUAGAGGAGGACGGUUCUUCGGUCACGGGUAAUACUAGUAGCUAUGCUCCCCUGCUAGAACCUCCAAACAAGCUCUCAAGGUCCAAAAAUCACUUAACAAAAUAUCCGCAAAUCAUGUGUGGCUAUAUAAUAAAAGAGUAAUAUAUCAUCAUCCUAUACAUAUUUUCUAAGAAAUGUUAAGAUAGAUUAAAUAU
rnacentral:snRNA from 1 species